ensembl:lncRNA
GAGAAAUGCUAGCUUGGGGGAUGGGAUGAGGCAGGCAAAAUGAAGCUGUCUUCUUUCUCUUCUUGUGUGGUUAUUCUCAGGGUUUUUUGUUCUGCUGUGUUGCUGGAAUUUCUUAAGUGGGCCCCAGAGCUUUCCCAGAGCUGUUUUCGUUCGUGGAUAGCUGUCUAAGUGUUGAUCUUUGUGGGGAGACAGAGGCUGGGGUCUCCUACUUUGCCAUUUUGGUGACUUCACCUCAGAAAUGCUUUAGUUCCAUCCUUGUGAGCGUGAAGUGGUAUCUCAUUGUGGUUUUGGUUUGCGCUUCCCCAACAAUUGGAUAUAGAAGAUUAGCCCUGAGCAAACAUCUGCUGCCAAUCCUCCUCUUUUUGCUGAGAAAGACUGGCUCUGAGCUAACAUCCGUGCCCAUCUUCCUCUACUUUAUGUGGAAUGCCUGCCACAGCAUGGCUCAACGGGCGGUCUGUAGGUUCACAACCGGGAUUCAAACCAGCGUACCCUGGGCUGCCGAAGCAGAACGUGCAAACUUAACCACUGUGCCACCAGACGAUCCCAACCCUCCUGCUUUUUUUUGGGUUUAAAUUUCAUCUAUUUUUCUAAUUCUUGAAAUGGAUGCUUAGAUAAUUGAUUUUCAGCAUUUUUCCUUUCUUAUAUACAUUUAAAGAUAUGACUAUCCAUUAAAGCAUGGUUUAACUGCAACUUACAAUUUUCAAAGUAUAAUAUUUUAAUAAUUAUUAGUUCACAUAUUUUCUGUUAUGAUAUUUUCUUUAACAUAUACUUGACUUAUAGUGCAUUUCUUAAUUUCUCUUUAUUUCUUAAUAUGUAUUAAUUUCCAAAUAUGUGGUGAUCUUUAGUUAUCUAUCUCUUGUUAAUUUCUCACUUAAUUGCACUGUGGUACUGGACAUAUUAUAUACCAUAUCAAUCUUUUGAAAGUUUUUGAUAUUUCAUAGCAUAGCUUAUAAUCAAUUUUUUGCAAAUGUUUUAUACACAGUUGACAGUAAUAUGUAUUCUAUAGCUAUUGAGUGCAAUCUAGUAUGUCAUAUUUGUUAAUUGCAUUGUUCCAAUCUUGUAUCUUUUAUAUUUUUCAUCUACUUAAUCUAUCAGUUAAUGAGAAAAGUUGUUAAAAUGCUCAGUGUGAUUGUCGAUUUGUCUAUUUCUCCUUAGAGUUCUAUCACUUUUAGCUUUAUAUAUUUUGAGGAUUUGUAAUCAGGUGCAUACACAUUUAAAAUUUUUAUCUUCCUAGGGAAUUAAAUCAUUGUGAAAGUUUCCUCUUAAUCCAGAGUAAUGGUUUCUACAUUUUGUCUACUUUGUCUGAUAUUAAUAUAGUUACAACCACUUUCUUUUGGCUAAUGUUUGUGUUGUGUAUUUAUUUUGCAUCCCUUUAUUAUAAACCUUUUAAUCCUGUUUCAGUUAUCCAUCCAUGAGUAACAAACCACCCCAAACCUUAGUGACUUAAAAACAGCAAUGUGUUCUCUCUCUUGGUUCUGUGGUUGAUUUGGCUCAGCUCAGCAGUUUUCAUUUAGGAGGGGAUCGCUCAUGUAGCUGCAGACUUACGGUAGCAGUUGCUGGAAUCAUGUGAGGGCUUGAUUUGGCUGGAUAGCCAAUCAAUUUUUUCGUGAAUUAUCUCCAGAUACAGACGAGACUUGUUGA